rnacentral:rRNA from 1 species
UACGGAGGGGGCUAGCGUUGUUCGGAAUUACUGGGCGUAAAGCGCACGUAGGCGGCUUUGUAAGUUAGAGGUGAAAGCCCGGGGCUCAACUCCGGAAUUGCCUUUAAGACUGCAUCGCUAGAAUUGUGGAGAGGUAAGUGGAAUUCCGAGUGUAGAGGUGAAAUUCGUAGAUAUUCGGAAGAACACCAGUGGCGAAGGCGACUUACUGGACACAUAUUGACGCUGAGGUGGCGAAAAGCUGGGGGAGCGAACGGG